AAGACAUUACACUAGGUUAGCUGUUGACCAUGUUGGGGUUUAAACCAAAGACAUUACACUAGGUUAGCUAGCUGUUGACCAUGUUGGGGUUUAAACCAAAGACAUUACACUAGGUUAGCUGUUGACUGUUGUGGGGUUUAAACCAAAGACAUUACACUAGGUUAGCUGUUGACUGUUGUGGGGUUUAAACCAAAUACAUUACACUAGGUUAGCUGUUGACCAUGUUGGGGUUUAAACCAAAGACAUUACACUAGGUUAGCUAGCUGCUGACCAUGAUGGGGUUUAAACCAAAUACAUUACACUAGGUUAGCUGUUGACCAUGAUGGGGUUUAAACCAAAGACAUUACACUAGGUUAGCUGUUGGCCAUGAUGGGGUUUAAACCAAAGACAUUACACUAGGUUAGCUGUUGACCAUGAUGGGGUUUAAACCAAAGACAUUACACUAGGUUAGCUGUUGACCAUGAUGGGGUUUAAACCAAAGACAUUACACUAGGUUAGCUAGCUGUUGACCAUGAUGGGGUUUAAACCAAAGACAUUACACUAGGUUAGCUAGCUGUUGACCAUGAUGGGGUUUAAACCAAAGACAUUACACUAGGUUAGCUAGCUGUUGACCAUGAUGGGGUUUAAACCAAAGACAUUACACUAGGUUAGCUGUUGACCAUGAUGGGGUUUAAACCAAAGACAUUACACUAGGUUAGCUGUUGACCAUGAUGGGGUUUAAACCAAAGACAUUACACUAGGUUAGCUGUUGACCAUGAUAGGGUUUAAACCAAAGACAUUACACUAGGUUAGCUAGUUGCUGACCAUGAUAGGGUUUAAACCAAAGACAUUACACUAGGCUGGUCAUUUGUUGCCUAGAUGAAGGUGAAUGAGAGAAGUGGUGAAUGAAAAACAGAAUGACUCUUCCAUAAACUCCCAUAACAUAUCAUAACAUACUAAAAACAACCAUAACAACCAAAUCCUUUACAUCACACACGCAAUGGACAUUCCAGUUAACAUACAUACAUACCAUAACACACAGUUAUUACUAACAUAACUUAAACUUUAUCAAAAUAGGCGAGUAUUAUAAGGCACUAUAUAGUCUAAACUUAACAAUACUUAUUUGAUGCUGUUUGGAAAUACCACAAGUUGUUGCUCAUUCAUUGCUGUGAUACACACAAAAGGAUGACAUCAUCUACUUGUGCCAUGACAAGACAAAAAUGUAUCUACUUCCUGGGUCAAAGGUCCUUGAAACGGACACGUUUCAUUGGGCAGGUGCAAUAUCAGUCAUAAUAACACCGUGGUGCCUGAAAAGAUAGGUCCUCGUCAACAUUAUACAUGGCGAAACUUGAGUAGUGAGACACUUGACAGAAAUAUAAUAGUCACACAUAUACUUAUUGCACGGGUACUGAAUCAGAGAGAGAACGCUUAUAUAUCUGGGAGCAUUCCAAUGAGAAAAUUACCUUCACCCAUUCCUCCCUCCUUUCCUCCAUCCCUCCCUCCUUUCCCCAUCCCUCCCUCCAUCCCUCCCUCCUUUCCUCCCUCCUUUCCUCCAUCCCUCCCUCCCUCCUUUCCUCAUCCCUCCCUCCCUCCUUUCACCCAUCCCUCCCUCCUUCACCCACCCAUUCCUCCCUCCUUCA
rnacentral:lncRNA from 1 species